rnacentral:rRNA from 1 species
ACAUGCAAGUCGAGCGAGGAACUUCGGUUCCUAGCGGCGGACGGGUGAGUAACACGUGGGUAACCUGCCUCAUAGAGGGGAAUAGCCUCCCGAAAGGGAGAUUAAUACCGCAUAACACUGCGGUUUCGCAUGAAACUGCAGUUAAAGGAGCAAUCCGCUAUGAGAUGGACCCGCGGCGCAUUAGCUAGUUGGUGAGGUAAAGGCUCACCAAGGCCACGAUGCGUAGCCGACCUGAGAGGGUGAUCGGCCACAUUGGAACUGAGACACGGUCCAGACUCCUACGGGAGGCAGCAGUGGGGAAUAUUGCACAAUGGGCGAAAGCCUGAUGCAGCAACGCCGCGUGGAGGAUGAAUGCCUUCGGGUUGUAAACUCUUGUCUUCUGGGACGAUAAUGACGGUACCAGAGGAGGAAGCCACGGCUAACUACGUGCCAGCAGCCGCGGUAAUACGUAGGUGGCGAGCGUUGUCCGGAUUUACUGGGCGUAAAGGAUGCGUAGGCGGAUAUUUAAGUGGGAUGUGAAAUACCUGGGCUUAACCUGGGUGCUGCAUUCCAAACUGGGUAUCUAGAGUGCGGGAGAGGAAAGUGGAAUUCCUGGUGUAGCGGUGGAAUGCGCAGAGAUCAGGAGGAAUACCGAAGGCGAAGGCAGUCUUCUAAGCCGGUUAUUGACGCUAAACUGCGAAGGUGUGGGUAUCAAACAGGAUUAGAUACCCUGGUAGUCCACACAGUAAACGAUAAUCACUAGGUGUCGGGUUCUUAACAAUGGAUUCGGUGCCGUAGCUAACGCGUUAAGUGAUUCGCCUGGGGAGUACGAUCGCAAGGUUGAAACUCAAAGGAAUUGACGGGGGCCCGCACAAGCGGUGGAGCAUGUGGUUUAAUUCGAGGCAACGCGAAGAACCUUACCCGGGUUUGACAUCCGUAGAAUCCUUCAGAGAUGAGGGAGUGCCGGUUUACCGGAGCUACGAGACAGGUGCUGCAUGGCUGUCGUCAGCUCGUGUCGUGAGAUGUUGGGUUAAGUCCCGCAACGAGCGCAACCCCUGCUUUCAGUUACCAUCAUUCAGUUGGGGACUCUGAAGGGACCGCUGCGGUAACAACGCAGAGGAAGAUGGGGACGACGUCAAGUCAUCAUGGUCCUUAUGUCCGGGGCUACACACGUGCUACAAUGGUAGUUACAGAGGGCAGCGAAGCGGUGACGUGGAGCGAAUCUCAGAAAAGCUACCUCAGUUCGGAUUGAGGUCUGCAACUCGACCUCAUGAAGCAGGAAUCGCUAGUAUCGCGCAACAU